CCUACGGGUGGCAGCAGUAGGGAAUAUUGGACAAUGGGCGCAAGCCUGAUCCAGCCAUGCCGCGUGAGUGAAGAAGGCCCUCGGGUUGUAAAGCUCUUUUGUCAGGAAAGAAAAGCAAUCGGUUAAUACCCGGUUGUUCUGACGGUACCGGAAGAAUAAGCACCGGCUAACUUCGUGCCAGCAGCCGCGGUAAUACGAAGGGUGCAAGCGUUACUCGGAAUUACUGGGCGUGAAGCGUGCGGAGGGGUGUGAAGGCCCGGGGCUCAACCUUGGAAUGGCAUUGGCUACUGGCGGGCUAGAGUGCGGUAGAGGGUAGUGGAAGUCCCGGUGUAGCAGUGAAAUGCGUAGAGAUCGGGAGGAACAUCUGUGGCGAAGGCGACUGCCUGGACCAGCACUGACACUGAGGCACGAAAGCGUGGGGAGCAAACAGGAUUAGAUACCCCAGUAGUC
rnacentral:rRNA from 1 species